AUGGGAGAUUCUGAAAACAUGUUCGAUUUUUUUUCCACGUUUUCACGCGGAGCCAAGAAAAAAAAAACCCGCCUCGCACCGGCAGUCUGUAACCACGCCCACUCGAAUGACAUCUCUCGCAGGCCACGCCCCGCACACCUGUCCGCCAGGUUCUGCGAGAGAGAAGGGAGCUGGUUCAUUUUUUCAUGUUCGGGCAGGGCACGCUUCGCACUAAAUGGAGUAUAAAUGCAAGUAUAAAUAUUUCGUUAAUUCCUUUACACGUAUCUUAUUGAAAUAUAUUCUGCGCUUUCUGUCGUGGUGAAAACGGCUGUUUGCUUCUCAGAAACCUUGCUUUAAAUUAACUUCUAAAUGUGCUCUUGUGUUUUCCAGUUUGGUGCCUUCGGGCAGGACAAGCUUGGCUCAGCUGCUGGAAUUAUCUAUGUAAGUAUAAACCUUUUUAUUCGUUUUAUUCGUAUCAUACUGAAGUACACUAUAUACUGCACCUAACGAAAACUAUUGUUGGAAAACGAGGCGGUACUAGCAUAUCUCCACAGCAGAUUUUGUUCCGAUGUUACCCGACUGUAGACUUACUUUUUAUUGUUGCUAAUCAAAAUGGAAAUCAUAAAAGAGCAUUAGAAUGUGGUAGUUUCCAUCUAAUCGAUAUACUUGUAGCUGUGUUGAUUGUAUUGUGCCGUCGGUAUUUUGCACACUUUAAAUGCAAAUCCGAGCACAGGAACAUUUCCCGUUACACCAGGCUAAGCGCUUUAUUCCAGUGGUAAUUGUUUUUAAACGGUUUCGUCUUCUGAACGUGUCAGUCAAUACAGAAGCUUGAUCUAACACGGAUUUCUGCUGUUUUGCAGGAAAUGCAACAAAGUUCCAGUCUUCAUUCUGGUCGCUGCCUCGACAGAUCCCUUGGGGAAACAGUAACGUGUCGUAUGUUUCUGUGCUUUUCCGUGUACUGUAGUUGCGUGCAAAUCUUUUCGUACAAUGUUUACUUGUAAAAGCAUGUAGCCUUAAUGUAUCCGUGCUUUGACACUUUGUAAUUUAAAUGCAUGUUACUUUUCACUUUAAAUCCUGUGCAUCUGUAAUGGAAUGCGUGAUUUUGUAUGCAACUUUCGCUCAAUAAAUUGUUGAUUGGAGU
rnacentral:lncRNA from 1 species